rnacentral:rRNA from 1 species
UACGUAGGGUGCAAGCGUUAAUCGGAAUUACUGGGCGUAAAGCGUGCGCAGGCGGUUAUGUAAGACAGAUGUGAAAUCCCCGGGCUCAACCUGGGAACUGCAUUUGUGACUGCAUAGCUAGAGUGCGGCAGAGGGAGAUGGAAUUCCGCGUGUAGCAGUGAAAUGCGUAGAUAUCGGGAGGAACACCUGUGGCGAAGGCGGCCCCCUGGUCGGAUACUGACGCUGAGACGCGAAAGCGUGGGGAGCAAACAGG